GACGAACGCUGGCGGCGUGCUUAACACAUGCAAGUCGAACGAAGAGCGAUGGAAGCUUGCUUCUAUCAAUCUUAGUGGCGAACGGGUGAGUAACGCGUAAUCAACCUGCCCUUCAGAGGGGGACAACAGUUGGAAACGACUGCUAAUACCGCAUACGAUCUAAUCUCGGCAUCGAGGAUAGAUGAAAGGUGGCCUCUACAUGUAAGCUAUCACUGAAGGAGGGGAUUGCGUCUGAUUAGCUAGUUGGAGGGGUAACGGCCCACCAAGGCGAUGAUCAGUAGCCGGUCUGAGAGGAUGAACGGCAACAUUGGGACUGAGACACGGCCCAGACUCCUACGGGAGGCAGCAGUGGGGAAUCUUCCGCAAUGGACGAAAGUCUGACGGAGCAACGCCGCGUGAGCGAUGACGGCCUUCGGGUUGUAAAGCUCUGUUAAUCGGGACGAAAGGCCUUCUUGCGAAUAGUGAGAAGGAUUGACGGUACCGGAAUAGAAAGCCACGGCUAACUACGUG
rnacentral:rRNA from 1 species